GGGCAAUGGCGGGCGCCCCUCCCCCAGCCUCGCUGCCGCCUUGCAGUUUGAUCUCAGACUGCUGUGCUAGCAAUCCGCGAGACUCCGUGGGGUAGGACCCUCCGAGCCAGGUGCGGCAUAUAAUCUCGUGGUGCGCCGUUUUUUAAGCCCGUGGGGAAAGCGCAGUGUUCUGGUGGGAGUGACCCGAUUUUCCAGGUGCCGUCCGUCACCCCUUUCUUUGACUAGGAAAGGGAACUCCCUGACCCUUGCUCUUCCCGAGUGAGGCAAUGCCUCGCCCUGCUUCGGCUCGCGCAGGGUGCGCGCACCCACUGACCUGCGCCCACUGUCUGGCACUCCCUAGUGAGAUGAACCCGGUACCUCAGAUGGAAAUGCAGAAAUCAACCAUCUUCUGUGUCGCUCACGCUGGGAGCUGUAGACCGGAGCUGUUCCUAUUUGGCCAUCUUGGCUCCUUCCUCAUCCUUAUUCAAUUCUUGAACGGUUCCACACAAAAAUAACUGAAGAUGGGCCUCCAGUCUUACGACGCCACAAAGUGCCCUGACACCACUGAACACGAAAACUCAUUGCAGAGAUGCUAUUACUGGGUGAAUGACG
rnacentral:lncRNA from 1 species